UCCACCCCAAUUUUCCACCUCUCUUAUCUGAUUUUGUUGCCCCAAAAGUCUUCAUACUUUUGUCAUUUUCUUGGCUGCAUCAGAUCAGAAGUCCAGCCCCGCUUUCUCUACUCCUUUUUCCUCUUUCUUUGUUCUUCUUUCUCUCUUCUUUUGUUGCUUUUACACGGCAGCCCUCCGUUUCUCACCAACACAAUAUAUUCCUCUAUAAAGAAGAAAUUAAACAAUUAACCCUAAGGUUUCAGCUUCAAAUUGUUGGGGGUGUUACCAGUAUCCAAGUCUAAGCUCCUUCGACUUUAGGCUCUCGGUUCCUCUACUUUUAGGUAAGGGAUAAGUUAUAUGGGCAUUUGUUAGCAGGUUUUAUUUUGGAGCAGAGGGAGCCUUAGUCGAGUUUGGAAGGAGCUGGUUUUAGUUUUAUAUGUAUAGAUCCUAAAUUAGUAAUUUUAUGUUUAGCUUUGUAGUAUUGUGUAUUUUAGGAUCAAAUGAAAGUGUACACCUUAAAGUAUUAAGAGAUGUAUUAUGUGAAAGUGUGGAACUUAAAUGAUUGGUGGAUUAUAUUAUUCUUUGGAGUACAAUGUAGAUGCUCUGAAUGUCAAGUGAAAGGUUAUAUAAUUUAAGUAAAGAAACAAGGAUUGAAAAGAAAGAACAA